rnacentral:rRNA from 1 species
AUUGAACGCUGGCGGAAUGCUUUACACAUGCAAGUCGAACGGCAGCACGGGUGCUUGCACCUGGUGGCGAGUGGCGAACGGGUGAGUAAUGCACCGGAACGUAUCCAAUAAUGGGGGAUAACGCACCGAAAGGUGUGCUAAUACCGCAUACUCCCUGAGGGGGAAAGCGGGGGAUCGUAAGACCUCGCGUUAAUGGAGCGGCCGAUGCCGGAUUAGCUAGUUGGUGAGGUAAAGGCUCACCAAGGCGACGAUCCGUAGCUGGUCUGAGAGGACGACCAGCCACACUGGAACUGAGACACGGUCCAGACUCCUACGGGAGGCAGCAGUGGGGAAUAUUGCGCAAUGGGCGAAAGCCUGACGCAGCAACGCCGCGUGCGGGAUGACGGCCUUCGGGUUGUAAACCGGCUUUCAGCAGGGACGAAACUGACGGUACCUGCAGAAGAAGCACCGGCUAACUACGUAGCCAGCAGCCGCGGUAAU